CCCUCUUGGUGGAAACUAAAAUUCUGCAACACAAACUACCUGUGCACUAUUUGCAGCAUAGGGACAAUUAACAAAUUCAAUAAUUUUGAUUUACGAAGGAUGUCUUUCACGUUUGAAAGCAUUAUGUAAAUUUAUCGACUGCAUUAAAAAAUAUAACAAUUUGGUUGACUACACUGUAUUUAAUGAUAGUGCAGUUUAAUCAUUGAGAAAGCCCGGUCAGUUUGUUUACCACUGUAUAACUAACAGUUUAAAAGCCCUUAAAAAAAGACAACUUAAUGAAACUAGAUACUUAAAUUACUAAAAGCUGUAAGGGAAUUGAAGUUUCAACUGUCUUUGUGCUUCAAUU